CUCUUUUCCAAACACAACAAACUCACCGCCACACACUGCCCUUCCUGUGACCUUGAAUCCAGAGACCACCAGGCCCAAAAGCCACCUGGAGGAUUUCACUACUGUCUCUGUGGUGGUCAGAAGGGCUGAGAGCAGAACGCAGGAGCCAGAAGACAAUGUCAGAACCCCUUGGAACUGGAGUUACAGACAGGUAGGGAAUCCACAACAGACCAAAGCAUGGAUACGCCCCAAGUCCAACGUGGUGAACCGAUGAAUCUCCAAAGCACAACCCAGACACAGGUGACAUCUCUGGGAACCUGAGCACAAGACACAGCUUCAGCGAGCUCAGCAGGUUGGUCACAGACCAGACAACAAAAGGUUCAUCCUCCUGCCUGACCAUCAUCCAUCCAUCAGCAAGACCAUGCUCUAGUUUGGACUUCCUGGAUUCUGCAGCUUCAUGCAGGAGUUAGAGCAUGUGAGGAGAUCAGCUCGGGUCCAUAGCUGGGCCCACCCACCUGCUUCUCUUCCUGUCCUCAGUGUCACAACAAUACAGGAUUCAGUCGUGAGGAUACCCCAGCCCAUCUGCUCAUUGCUCCACACAGCUACUGCCUCCAGAAGUUGAACACCUGUGACAGAGCCAAUUAUCUAGGGAUAGAGGAGCCAAGAGGCUUGGGUUGCCCUUGAGGCUGUAUUUGGGCC
ensembl:lincRNA Gm10804 predicted gene 10804